AGAGUUUGAUCCUGGCUCAGAUUGAACGCUGGCGGCAUGCCUUACACAUGCAAGUCGAACGGCAGCGCGGGGGGUAACUCCUGGCGGCGAGUGGCGAACGGGUGAGUAAUAUAUCGGAACGUGCCCUGGAGUGGGGGAUAACUAGUCGAAAGAUUAGCUAAUACCGCAUACGAUCUACGGAUGAAAGUGGGGGAUUCGCAAGAACCUCAUGCUCGUGGAGCGGCCGAUAUCUGAUUAGCUAGUUGGUAGGGUAAAAGCCUACCAAGGCGACGAUCAGUAGCUGGUUUGAGAGAACGACCAGCCACACUGGGACUGAGACACGGCCCAGACUCCUACGGGAGGCAGCAGUGGGGAAUUUUGGACAAUGGGGGC
rnacentral:rRNA from 1 species